rnacentral:antisense_RNA from 1 species
AUUUAUGGUGGCCAUGCGUAGGGUGCCCUCGGGCACGCCGGUUUUUCCAUGUGGGCCGGUCUACCAACCUUCGUAUGGCCACCACCUCU